rnacentral:rRNA from 1 species
GUCUACGGCCAUACCACCCUGAACGCGCCCGAUCUCGUCUGAUCUCGGAAGGAAUCUGUAGUUCCCUGAAGAUAUAUAAACAUAAAGAGAAUGUAUGUAGAGU